rnacentral:misc_RNA from 1 species
GAUGAAGAACGCAGCGAAAUGCGAUAAGUAAUGUGAAUUGCAGAAUUCAGUGAAUCAUCGAAUUUUUGAACGCACCUUGCACUCCUUGGUAUUCCGAGGAGUACGCCUGUUCGAGUGUUAUGAAGCUCUCAAAACGCAAUUGGCUUAAAACCUGAUUGUUGUUUUGGAUUUGAACUUUGCCGUGUUAUAACGGCUGGUUUUAAAAGUAUUAGCUGGUACUAGAACGAAUUGGUUCUACUCAACGUGAUAAUUAUCUGAUCGUUGAGGACAUUCCUUUCACGAGGAAUGGCCAUAGUAAAUUCAAUGGACUGCUUCUAAUCUGGCUUUAAUUCUUUAUUGGAUUAACCACUUUUCAAAUCUGACCUCGAAUCAGGUGGGACUACCCGCUGAACUUAAGCAUAUCAAUAAGCGGAGGA